rnacentral:rRNA from 1 species
GACGAACGCUGGCGGCGUGCUUAACACAUGCAAGUCGAACGGAAAGGCCCUGCUUUUGUGGGGUGCUCGAGUGGCGAACGGGUGAGUAACACGUGAGUAACCUGCCCUUGACUUUGGGAUAACUUCAGGAAACUGGGGCUAAUACCGGAUAGGAGCUCCUGCUGCAUGGUGGGGGUUGGAAAGUUUCGGCGGUUGGGGAUGGACUCGCGGCUUAUCAGCUUGUUGGUGGGGUAGUGGCUUACCAAGGCUUUGACGGGUAGCCGGCCUGAGAGGGUGACCGGCCACAUUGGGACUGAGAUACGGCCCAGACUCCUACGGGAGGCAGCAGUGGGGAAUAUUGCACAAUGGGCGGAAGCCUGAUGCAGCAACGCCGCGUGCGGGAUGACGGCCUUCGGGUUGUAAACCGCUUUCGCCUGUGACGAAGCGUGAGUGACGGUAAUGGGUAAAGAAGCACCGGCUAACUACGUGCCAGCAGCCGCGGUGAUACGUAGGGUGCGAGCGUUGUCCGGAUUUAUUGGGCGUAAAGGGCUCGUAGGUGGUUGAUCGCGUCGGAAGUGUAAUCUUGGGGCUUAACCCUGAGCGUGCUUUCGAUACGGGUUGACUUGAGGAAGGUAGGGGAGAAUGGAAUUCCUGGUGGAGCGGUGGAAUGCGCAGAUAUCAGGAGGAACACCAGUGGCGAAGGCGGUUCUCUGGGCCUUUCCUGACGCUGAGGAGCGAAAGCGUGGGGAGCGAACAGGCUUAGAUACCCUGGUAGUCCACGCUGUAAACGGUGGGUACUAGGUGUGGGGUCCAUUCCACGGGUUCCGUGCCGUAGCUAACGCUUUAAGUACCCCGCCUGGGGAGUACGGCCGCAAGGCUAAAACUCAAAGGAAUUGACGGGGCCCCGCACAAGCGGCGGAGCAUGCGGAUUAAUUCGAUGCAACGCGUAGAACCUUACCUGGGUUUGACAUGGAUCGGGAGUGCUCAGAGAUGGGUGUGCCUCUUUUGGGGUCGGUUCACAGGUGGUGCAUGCCUGUCGUCAGCUCGUGUCGUGAGAUGUUGGGUUAAGUCCCGCAACGAGCGCAAUCCUUGUUCACUGUUGCCAGCACGUUAUGGUGGGGACUCAAUGGAGACCGCCGGGGUCAACUCGGAGGAAGGUGGGGAUGACGUCAAGUCAUCAUGCCCCUUAUGUCCAGGGCUUCACGCAUGCUACAAUGGCUGGUACAGAGAGUGGCGAGCCUGUGAGGGUGAGCGAAUCUCGGAAAGCCGGUCUCAGUUCGGAUUGGGGUCUGCAACUCGACCUCAUGAAGUCGGAGUCGCUAGUAAUCGCAGAUCAGCAACGCUGCGGUGAAUACGUUCCCGGGGCU